CCAGCCAUGCCGCGUGAAGGAAUGAAGGUGCCUAUGGGGUGCUGAAACUUCUUUUGACGCAGAGCAAUAAGGGACACGCGUGUUCCGAUGAGAGUAUGCGUCGAAUAAGCAUCGGCUAACUCCGUGCCAGCAGCCGCGGUAAUACGGAGGAUGCGAGCGUUAUCCGGAUUUAUUGGGUUUAAAGGGUGCGUAGGCUGUUGGAUAAGUCAGCGGUGAAAUCACCACGCUUAACGUGUUGUGUGCCGUUGAAACUGUCUGGCUUGAAUGCGCUCGUCGUGAGAGGAAUGUGUGGUGUAGCGGUGAAAUGCAUAGAUAUCACACAGAACACCGAUUGCGAAGGCAUCUCACGAGGGCGCUAUUGACGCUGAUGCACGAAAGCGCGGGUAUCGAACAGGAUUAGAUACCCUGGUAGUCCGCGCUGUAAACGAUGAUGACUAACCGUUGGUCUGGUAUGGAUCAGUGGUCAAGCGAAAGCGUUAAGUCAUCCACCUGGGGAGUACGGCCGCAAGGCUGAAACUCAAAGGAAUUGACGGGGCCGCAC
rnacentral:rRNA from 1 species